rnacentral:rRNA from 1 species
AAUCAACGCUGGCGGCGUGCCUAACACAUGCAAGUCGAACGAGAAAGUGGAGCAAUCCAUGAGUAAAGUGGCGACCGGGUGAGUAACACGUGACUAACCUACCCUCGAGUGGGGAAUAACUCCGGGAAACCGGAGCUAAUACCGCAUAACAUCUUCGGAACUCAGGUUCUGUUGAUCAAAGGAGCAAUUCGCUUGAGGAGGGAGUCGCGGCUGAUUAGCUAGUUGGCGGGGUAAUGGCCCACCAAGGCUUAGAUCGGUAGCCGGCCUGAGAGGGCGCACGGCCACACUGGAACUGAAACACGGUCCAGACUCCUACGGGAGGCAGCAGUGGGGAAUUUUGCGCAAUGGGGGAAACCCUGACGCAGCAACGCCGCGUGGAGGAUGAAGUCCCUUGGGAUGUAAACUCCUUUCGACCGGGAAGAUGAUGACGGUACCGGUAGAAGAAGCACCGGCUAACUCUGUGCCAGCAGCCGCGGUAAUACAGAGGGUGCGAGCGUUGUUCGGAAUUAUUGGGCGUAAAGGGCGCGUAGGCGGCGCGGUAAGUCACCUGUGAAAUCUCCCGGCUCAACCGGGAGUCUGCAGGCGAAACUGCCG